UUGGUUUCCCUCCCCACUGCUUUUCACAAUUUUUAAAACCCUUAGAGGCCUCUGCGAGUCCGCGUUCUUUUUCUCUUUCUACCUCCUCAUCGUUGUUUUUAUCUUCCAGCAUCGUUCCUUGAAGCAAAUUGCGAUUGUAGAUUGACGGUUCUGAAUUGGCUAUUGCGGCUCAAGAUUGGUGAUAUAGAAAGUGGCGAAAUCCAGUUCUGAAUUGGCGAGAAGAAGCACAUUAGUUUGGAUAUUGGUACUACUGCAUUAUCUGGGCCACUUCUGAGAGGACUUGGUCAACUUACAGAGCUGCUAUCAUUUUUUCUUCCCUCACGAAGCACACUGAUCCAAUCAAAACUUUUAAGCUCAACACAUACGCUCCUAUAAAGGAGGGAGUGUGUGGACUGAUUAUGGUGGUUAGGGUGGUGUGGGUGACGUCCUAAUGUCUGCAGCGAUCUGCAAGCUCGCUAAUAGGCCGGCGGAUAUGGCAGAAGCACUAGCUCUGAAAUUUGGCAUGCAGUAUGCAUUCGAUGCGGGCUUCCAUAGCAUUGAAGUGGAACCAGACUGUCUGUUUGGAAGUCGGUGGAAGUAGCCGCGGUGGUUUUUCCGACGAGGAUGGUGUGGGUUUAGUCAAUUUGAUAUUACCACUACUAAGAAUGCUCCUAUUGAACGCCUCAAACGCUGGAGGUGUAAGCAGGCUAAGUCUCAGUAACAUACGUUCAAGUUUGGAUUUGAAAUUGGUGCGGUCGCAGACCUCCAGUAUCACAAAUCAUGACAUACUCUCUUCCUCUUAGGGAAGAUGUUAAGCAGGCACCCCUCUUAAGUGCAGUGGAGGCCACCUACCUAGGCCAUGAGGCUUCUUGAUCAGCCAUUGACCCUGUCAGGAUGGUGCAUAUAGUUAAGAAGUACGAACUACUUUAAAUAUGUGGAGAUUUAUAGGGCACAUAAAUAUUAGACAGGUUUUAAGAAAUAAAGCUAUCGCAUAGUGAUUAUUGCAGGAUUUUUUAAUAAUGGAGGUAGUUUUGGAAGCAAUAUUUUUUUGAACUGUUCAGACAAUUGUAAUAGAUAUAUAUUAUUCUUAUGAAUUUACAAAUUUUUAACUUAUUUGUUAUGAAAAUUUUAUUAUAUGUAGUUCGUAUUUAUUACAGGUA